UACGUAGGGUGCAAGCGUUAAUCGGAAUUACUGGGCGUAAAGCGUGCGCAGGCGGUUUUGUAAGACCGAUGUGAAAUCCCCGGGCUUAACCUGGGAACUGCAUUUGUGACUGGCAGGCUAGAGUAUGGCAGAGGGGGGUAGGAUUCCACGUGUAGCAGUGAAAUGCGUAGAGAUGUGGAGGAAUACCGAUGGCGAAGGCAGCCCCCUGGGCCAAUACUGACGCUCAUGCACGAAAGCGUGGGGAGCAAACAGG
rnacentral:rRNA from 1 species